GGCCUUAUAGCUCAGUGGUAGAGCACAGGAUUGCAGUUCGUACUUCUCCUGGGGUCUCGUGUUCAAGUCACGAUGGGGCCU